rnacentral:rRNA from 1 species
AUUGAACGCUGGCGGCAGGCCUAACACAUGCAAGUCGAACGAGUCUCGGACUUGUGAGUCCUGUCUUGGAAACUGCCCGAUGGAUGGGGAUAACUCCUGGAAACGGUCGCUAAUACCGCAUACCAUCGGAUGUUCCCAGAUGGGAUUAGCUAGUAGGUUGGGUAACGGCUCACCUAGGCGACGAUCCCUAGCUGGGCUGAGAGGAUGACCAGCCACACUGGAACUGAGACACGGUCCAGACUCCUAAGGGAGGCAGCAGUGGGGAAUAUUGCACAAUGGGCGCAAGCCUGAUGCAGCCAUGCCGCGGGUAUGAAGAAGGCCUUCGGGUUGUAAAGUACUUUCAGCGAGGAGGCGGGAGUCGAAGAAGAAGCACAGGCUAACUCCGUGCCAGCAGCCGCGGUAAUAG